CGAGAAUGUUAGUUUUAAAUAACAUGUUUUUACAGUGAGGAAAUAAAGGAAGUUUGCAGUAGUAAGACAGUGAGUUGAUUGAAAAGAAAUCACAAAACUAAAGCAGUAUGUUUGCUAAAGCUGCUUUUAUUAUUCUUGUCCUGUUUGGGCUCCACCUGUCGUCCACACAAGACACAUUUCUCAGAGAGGGUCCAGAGGAGCUUUAUUGCCGUUGCAUCAGCUACACCUCUAACUUCAUUCAUCCAAAGACUAUGAAGGAUAUUGAUAUUAUUCCAAAGGGUCCUCAUUGUGCAAUAGUAGAAGUAAUAGUCACACUCAACAAUGAUAGGCAAGUUUGUCUGGACCCUGAAGCCAAUUGGGUGAAGAAAUUGAUUGAUAUAAUUUUAAGAAACAAUUGAAGAAUUUCCUGAAAUGUGAAGGUGACCCAGGAAAAGUGCGACAACAUAGACUGGUACCAAUCAGCAGGUCACCCUCGCUUACCUCCCGCACAAGGACUAGAAGAUCACAGCCUUCACCUUUAUCAUAAUCGUGCUCCUGUCUUCAUCAGCCAAAGGAAGACUGGAUUGACUCACUUUCAGAUGAAGUCUAUUCGACAAUAUUAUCGCAUUCAUAUCUGAAUAGUGUCUUUGUUAUACUUAAUUAAACCAUUUUCAGUAUAAUGUUAAUUAGAUUAUGAGCAAGCAGCAGAUUGGUUGUAUCAUUCCUAAUCAGUUAACCAAGAUCAAAGGAAUCAUAGCCAUUUAUGAUUCAGAAGUGCCAGCUAAAUGAGAGGCAGCAUUCCAGCCCAGUUACACUUCCCAGAUUUUGAUUUGUAAUCUUGAAAGUUACAACAGUUUACCGUCACAUGUAAAACCAUUAUGAAUGCAAAGAGGGUUACGAAUCUAACCACGUCUGGCUACCACCAUCCUGGUUAAGUGCUUCCCUCUCUACAUUAGCUUGGUCACUUCAUGUAAAUCUUCCUUGAUUCCCAAACAAAACAAUGCUAGUCCCGGCCAGUCUUUCCUCGCAGCUAAACUUCUCUAUUCCCAGCUUUUAUGCAAGUCUCUAUAAGAAAUAACUUUGUUAGAUGGGACCACAACUAUGUGCAGCAUUCUAGAUGUAAACCAGUUUUUACGCCACUUCCCAGUUCUUAUGUUCUAUGUCCCGUUACUAAAGGGAAGUAACCCGCCACUCAGUCAUAGAAAUGUACAGCGCAAAAACAGGUCUUUGAGCCCAUCCGGUCCAUGCUGAACCAUUUAAACUGUCGAGUCCUAUUAAUCUACACCAGGACCAUAGCCCUCCAUACCCCUCCCACCAUGUACCUAUCCAAACUUCACUUAAACAUUGAAAUCGAAAUCACAUCCACCACUUGCACUUUCCACACUCUCACCAAUCUCUGAGUAAGUAACUUUCCCCUCAAGUUCCCUUUAAACAUUUUACCUUUCACCCUUUACCCAUGACCUCUAGUUGUAGUCUCACCCAACCUCGGUGUAAAAAGCCAAAUUGCAUUUACCCUAUCUACACCACUCAUAAUUUUGUAUAUCUCUAUCAAAUCUGCCCUCCAUCUUCUAUAUUCGAGUGAAUAAAGUUCUAACCUAUUCAGUCUUUGGGCUAUGUGAGGGAAACUUGUACACUUGGUGGAAACCUAGGGAGAAAAUGCGAACUCCACAUAGACAGCUCAGUCUGUUUCCUGGGAAUUAUAGUCCUAAUGGUUCCAGAGAUAGAAGGGGUCACUCUGGCAUUAUAACAGAAAUGCACUUCUAAGCUUAUGCUGUGCCAGAGAUCUGGUUGAGGCUCCAGCUCCUGCUGGCAGAUCUUGUCACAACAAAACAGUUGAAGUGAUCUGAUCACCCUAUGGUUCAGUGUGGAGUGAGCCCCAGAGGUCGCGAGGGCUGGGACGCAUGGUGCGUCUGCUCAGCAUUGAGAUGGGGGCUUGGGGCUCCACCUGGCUAUCACUGUGAGUGUGGGCCACUGCUGGGAGCUGGCGAAUAUGCUCCAUGUGUCGAUGGACCACCCGUCUUCCGUGGUAUCUCCCAUCACCUCCCACAGGACGGUGGUGAAUUUUGUUGCAUUCCCUUCACUUUGUUUGGCUGCACAGUUCUCCCCGCCCUAGCAGUUCCUCGGUGGCUCAGCGGCAGUGACUGCUCUUGCACUUGUGGCUGUGGAGAAGUCCCUGGGUGUGCAGAGAGGGGCAGUGCCCACCUCAUCCAACGGGACUGUGCUGGCCAGUGUGCCAAGCUCACCCUGGCAUUCACCUCCUCCCUCCAGCUGGCACUAGACUCACUCCACAUUGUGCCUCCAUCACAGGCGAGGUCCAGUGGUGAUGAGGGCAGAGGAUCACAGCAGGUUAAAGAACAGUGGGGUAUUUGCCUGUGUGAGUUCCGACCCCAGCACCAAACAUCUGUACUUUGUGGCAGAGUACCAAGCCAGUAGCAGUGUCAGAACUAGAAUCAGAAUUAGUAUCAUUGACAUAGAGUUAUGGAAAAAUACAGCACAAAAGCAGGCCCUUCAGCCCAUCUAGUCUAUGCCGAUCCAUUUAAACUGCCUGCUCCCAUUGUGCUGCACUGGUACCAUAGCCCUCCAUACCCCUACCAUCCAUGUACCUAUCCAAACCUCUCUUAAAUGUUGAAAUCAAGCUCACAUGCACGACUUGCGCUGGCAGCUUGAUCCACACUCUCACAACUCUCUGAGUGAAGAAGUUUCCUCUCAUCUUCCCUUAAAUGUUUCACCUUUCACUCCUAACUGUGACCUCAGUGGAAAAUGCCUGCUUGCAUUUACCCUAUCUAUACGCCUCAUAAUUUUGUAUACCUCAAUCAGAUCUCCUCUCAAUCUUCUACAUUCCAAGGAAUAGAGUCCUAACCUAUUCAAUCCUUCCAUAUAACUCAGGUCCUCCAGACGCAGUAACAUCCUUGUGAAUUUUUUCUAUACUCCUUCAGUCUUUUCACAUUUUAGCUCUAACCCAUGACCUCUAGUUGUCAUCCCACCCAACCUCAGUGGAAAAAGCCUGCUUGCAUUUACCCUAUCUAUACCCCUCAUAAUUUUCACCAUUAUCAAAUCUCCCCUCAAUCUUUUAUGUUCCAAGGAAUAAAGUCCUAAUCUAUUCAAUCUUUCCUUCUAACCCACAUCCUUCAGACCCAUCAACAUCCCUGUAAAUAUUCUCUGAACUCUUUCAACCUUAUUUACAUUUUUCCUGUAGGUAGUUGACCAAAACUGCACACAAUACUCCAAAUUAGGCAUCACCAAUGUCUUAUACAACUUCAACAUAACCUGCCAUCUCCUGCACUCAAUACUUGGAUUUAUGAAGGCCAAAACAGCAAAUGCUUUCUUUAUGAACCCCUAGCAACUUGAAUUUUGGACCUGCAUUCCCAGAUCUCUUUGCUUGACUGCACUCCUCAGUGCCUUAUCAUUCACUGUGUAAAGACCUACCCAGGGUGGUCCUACCAUAGUGCAACACCUCGCACUUGUCUGCAUUGAGCUCCAUGCAGACAACAUCCACUGCUUUGCCUUCAUCAAUUUUCCUGGUAACUUGCUCGAAAAACUCUAUAAGAUUGGUUAGACUUGACCUACCAUGCACAAAGCUAUGCUGACUAUUCUUAAUCAGUCCCUGUCUAUCCAAAUACUCAUAUAUCCAGUCCCUUAGAACGCCUUCCAAUAACUUGCCCACCACUGAUGUCAGGCUCCCUGGCCUAUAAUGUGCUGGCUUUUUAGAGCCCUUUCUUAAACUGCAGAACAGCAUUGUCUAUCCUCCAAUCCUCUGGCACCCCAGCUGUCGCUAAGGAUGAUAUAAAUAUCUCUGCUGGCACCCGGCAGUUUCCACACUUGCCUUCUGCAGGGUCCAAGGCAACACCUUAUCAGGCCCUGGGGAUUUAUCCACCCUGAUUUGCCUCAAGACAGCAAACAGCAUCUCCUCUGUAACCUGUAGAGUCUAUGAAGUUGAUGAUGUUUGGCCUCCCUUCUGUAGACUCUGUGUCCAUCUCCUGAGUAAAUACAGAUGCAAAAAAAAAAGGCAUUUAAGAUCUCUCCCAUCCUUUUUAGCUCCGCACAUAGAGGACCAAUUCUGAUAUUCCAGAGGAUCAAUUUUGUCCCUUGCAGUCCUUUUGGUCUUAACUUGUCUGUAGAAGCCUUGGGAUUCUCCUUCAUCUUGUCUGCUAAGGCAACCUCAUGCCUUCUUUUAGUCCUCCUGAUUUCUUUCUUAAGUGUUCCCUUGCAUUUCUUAUACUUAAUAAGCACCUCAUUUGUUCCUACCUGCCUAUAAUGAGGCAAUGCACCUCCUCUUUUUUCUUAUCCUGAGCCUCAUUAUCUCUUAAAAAGCAAGGUUCCCCAAAUCUGUUAUCUUCACCUUUCAUUCUGACAGGCACAUAUAAGCUUAGUACUCUCAAAAUUGACUUUUGAAAACCUCCCAAGAACAUCUUGCCAGGAAACAGCCUGCUCUAAUUCACACUCGCAAGAUCCUUUUUGCAGACUUCCUUUGAAACUAAUGGCAGUGUGAUCACCAGAUGCAAAAUGCCUGCCUGCACAAAGUUCUGUCACCUGCCCUGUCUCAUUCCCUAAUAGCAGAUCAAGUAUUGCACACUCCAUUGCUGGGACUCAUAUGUAAUAAUUAAGAAAGCUUUCCUGAACACAUUUGACAAACUUUAUCCUAUCUAGUCCUUCUAUGGUGUGGGAGUCACAGUCAAUUAUUCUGGCACUCUGGUUCCCAUCCUCCUCCAACUCUAGUUUAACACCCCACCCCCACCCUGUGCUGUUCUAGCAAAUCUUCCCUCUAGGAUGUUAGUCCCCUUCCGGUUCAUGACAUAUGUCAUGUAACAUGUUGUUUUCUCAUAGCAGUACAGUGCAGUACAUUAAAUACAAUAAGAAACAUACAUUAAGAAAUUAAAUAAAUGGUGCAAAAAGAGAGUGAAAUUAGUGAGGUAGUCUUCAUGAGUUCAUUGUCUGUGCAGAAAUCUAAUGGUAGAGGGGAAGAAGCCAUUCCUAAAACACUGAGUGAGUCCAGAGGCUCUUGUGCCUCGUCUCUGACAGCAGCAAUGAGAAGAGAACGUGUCCUGAGUGGUGGGUGGUCCUUAACGACAGAUGCCGCCUGCUUCGGGCGUUGCCUUUUGAAGAUCUCCUUGAUGGUGGGGAGGCUGGUGCCCGUGAUAGAGCCAGCUGAGCUGACAACCCUCUGCAGCGUUUUCUAAUCCUGUACAUGCCAGAUGUCGAAGCAACCAGUCAGAAAGCUCUCCACACUACAUCUGUAGAAAUUUGCUGGAGUCUUUGGUGACGUACUAACUCUCGUCAAAAUCCUAAUGAAAUACAGGUGCUGGUGUGCCUUCUUCAUCAUUGCAUUAAUAUGUUGGGCCUGGGAUAGGUCUUCAGGGAUGUUGAUACCCAGGAACUUAAAACUACUUACCCUUUCCACUGCUGGUCCCCUGAUGAGGACUAGUGUGUGUUCUCUCCUCCAGAAAUCCACAAUCAAAUCCUUGGUCUUGGUGAUGCUGAGUGCAAGGUUGCUUUUGCAACACCACUCAGCCAGCUGAUGUAUCUCACAUCUGAACACCUCCUCGUCACUAUCGGAAAUGUUGCCAACAACAGCUAUGUCACUGGUGAAGUUAUAAAUGGCAUUUGGUCUGUGUCUAGCUGCAGAGUCAUGCAUGAAGAUGAAGUAGAGCAGUGUGCUAAGUACACAUCGUUGAGGUGUGCCCGUCUUCUGAACCAUCUCAUCUACAUGUCCUGCUGUUUCAGAGGUCUAUGGACAUGCACUCUAAUGAACCUUUGCUCUCUCAAUGUUCUAGUAUUUGCUUUCUUCACCCUUUCCAAGUGCCUUACUUCACAUCUUUUCAGAUUGAAUACCUGUUCAUUAAUAACUUCCUGCCAUCCUCAACUUACAUCUUCUCAACAACACUUGUACCUUUAAACCACCUGGAAGCUUGUUAAUCAUGCCCACCGUGAUUGCCCAAUAUAUUGAUAUACACUAGUAAAACUAAGGGAACCUGUACUGAGCCUUGAUAAUGACACUGGAAAUAAUGAACACGAUUCGAUCCUGAAUACACUCAAUGUUGGACUUUGCUUUCAGUCACAGGGUCUGCCAAGCUUUUACGUUCAUGACCAGUUUUCUAUCUCGUAAAACACACAAAAUGCUGGAGGAACUCAGCAAGUCAUCCUGAUGAAGGGUCUAGGCCCAAAUUAUUAACUGCUUAUUCCCCUCCAUAAGCGCAACCUAACCUGCUGAUUUCCUCCAGCAUUUUCUGUGUGUUUCUCAAGAUUUUCGGCAUCGGCCCAAUCUCUUCUGUUUCUAUCUAGAGCCUUUGCUGAAACAUCAAAAUUCACUUUUCUCAUCAGCCUUCCUUGUUACAUCCUCGAAUUUAAUCACAUUGAAGACAACCUUCUCUAAACAAAUCCACAUUUACUUGCUAUGGAUGAAAAGCCAUUAAGAGACUGUCAUCCUAAAUGUAGCAUGUCUUUAGUCAACUCAACUGAGCGCGUAGCGGAUAUUGAGUUAUACUCAAAUACAAUGACAAAGCAGACACGUGAUUGACAACCAACAAAUGUGAUCAUAACAAAGUCUGAUCUGCAUAAAUGAUAAAGUAACCAGUCCAGAACCUCCCAUGGACCAUGCAUGAAUUGGAAACGUGGGUCCAAUUUGUCUAUUGCUUCCCCUAUCUGUGGUUCAAUGGUGAAAGAUACCUUAACCUCAAGGUAUCUAGUUCUAAUGCCUACUUCAAUGGUGCCAAAUGCCUUUGCUCUUCCAUGUCUGGUGUUCAAAUCCCUGGCCCAUUUGUCUAUUGUUUCCCUGUAUCGAUGGCUGUGUCAGCCAUCUGGUGCAUUUCACACUGUUGUGUUAUAACUUGGUCAACUUUAUCCCAGUCCCACUAGGGCUCCGUUUGUUCCCCUGCUUUUUUUGGUAACCCAUACCAGAAUGCCUCAUAGUUAUGUGACUCUUGCUUUGCCCAAUUAUUGAACAAGUUUGAACAUCCAGAGCUUGAGGAACCAGCUAUUACUUUGUAAUUACAGUGGUCUCUUUCCAAAUCACUUGAGUUGAAUUGCUUCCUGUUGUAAACGAUCAUCUUCUUUAUCUCAAAGUUGCUGGCGAAUGCAGCAGGUCAGGCGGCAUCUCCAGGAAGAGGUACA